ensembl:lncRNA
UAUUCAGGUACUAUGUUUGUGUAUUUCUUGAAGACUAAAGGUGACACAACACAAGCUACAGAGAAGUUUUUAGCUGACAUUGCACCUUUUGGAGAAAUCAAGUGCAUCCGUUCAGAUAACGGCACUGAAUUCAUGAGUCGAGAUUUUCAAACACUGUUAACAAGGAAUAAGAUUCGACACGAAACAUCUGCGCCUUAUUCACCACAUCAGAACGGCACAGCAGAGAGAGGAUGGAGAACACUCUAUGAAAUGAGUAGGUGCUUACUGAUAGAGAGUGAAUUACCAGAUGAGUUGUGGAACUACGCUAUGCAAACAUCAGCCUACGUGAGGAAUAGGUGCUACAGUAGACGUACAAAGAAGACAGCAUACGAGUUAUUCACAGGCAAAAAGCCAGAUCUUUCCAAGAUGCAGAAAUUUGGAUCAACAUGUUUUGCUUACAAACAAGAGAAAAGCAAAUUUGACUCAAGAUGCGAACAAGGUGUUUUCAUAGGCUACGACAAGAACAGCCCAGCCUAUCUAGUGUACUAUCCUAACACUGAAAAAGUCCAAAAGCACAGAUUGGUGAAGUUUACAGCAAAGACAAUCAGUGAAAGAGAAACACAGACAUCUGAGACACACACAGGAUAUGAAAAUAUGAAUCCAAAGAUCUUCAGCAGUGAACUUAAUGUUGAUCAAAGUAUGGAGGAUGAACCAGAUCAGGGUUUUCAGAGGGAUGUUCCAGAGAUUUCGCCUGAACAAGCUGAUCCCAACCAGUCAGGUAGAGUUGCAGAAACCGUGUCCAGAAAGAACCCACCAAGAACCAGGAAGAUGCCAGCUCACCUACAGGAUUUUGAAAUUGAGGACACAGAAGACAAACUGCAAACAUGCAUAGAUUUUUGCUACAGAGCAGUAUGUGACAUACCUCAAACCUACCAGGACGCCAUAACAUCAACAAAAUCCAAGCAAUGGAAGGAUGCUAUGGACAAAGAAAUGCGAUCAUUGGAGGAGAAUAAGACCUUCACACUCACGAAAUUGCCACCAGGAAGACAACCAGUAGGAGGAAGAUGGGUUUACGCACUCAAAAGAGACAUUGACGGAUCUGAAAAAUACAAAGCAAGAUUUGUGGCGAAAGGUUACAGUCAGAAACAAGGGACUGAUUACGAUGAAACAUUCUCACCCACAGCUGACAUGACAAGUGUGAGAGUGGUUAUGCAGAAAGCAGCGCAAGAAAAUCUGAUUUUGCAUCAGAUGGACGUUGAGACAGCUUACUUACAUGCACCAAUAGAUCACGAGAUCUAUAUGGAACAACCGGAGGGUUAUGAGCAAAAAUCUGAAAGAGAUGCAAAGUUAGUAUGCAAGUUAAAGAAAUCUCUCUAUGGCCUUAAGCAAUCUGGCAGAAACUGGAAUGCUGUGUUACAUGUAUGUUUGACAGAGAAUGGUUUUACACAAAACCCAGCUGAUAACUGUGUGUACACAAAAGAAAAGCCAAAUGAGAAAGUAAUCCUGAUAGUAUGGGUUGAUGAUUUAAUUAUAGCUGCUAACAAUGAAAGUGUUCUGAAAAAUGUGAAAAGAAUGCUCACAGAACGGUUCAAAAUGAAAGACAUGGGAAGGUUGAAACAUUUCCUGGGCAUAGAUUUUGAACAAUCAGAGGGUCUAGUCAAAAUGUCACAGGAAAGAUAUGUGAGAAAAAUACUAGAUCGUUUCGACAUGCAGAACUGUAAAUCUAGGGAAACUCCAUGUGAACCAAAGCUUGAUUUUACAGAAAAUGCUGAAAAAAUGAAAGAGCCAAAGAGGUUCAGGGAGGCAGUAGGAAGUUUAAUAUACUUGUCCACUUGCACGAGACCAGAUUUGAGUUUUGUCGUCAGUAAACUAUCUCAGUAUUUUGCUGAACCAACAGAACAGCACUGGAACACAGUAAAACAUGUGUUCAGGUACCUUAAAGGUACAGUAGAACAGCAAUUAUGCUUCAGAAGGAAUGACACAGAGAGGCUAGGUCUGAGUGUGUAUAGUGACGCUGACUGGGCAUCGGAUACGAAAGACAGACGUAGUACCUCAGGAUACUGUGUUAAUUUAAGUGAAGGAAGCUCUUUGAUUUCAUGGAAAACCAGAAAACAACCAACAGUAGCCCUUUCUACUUGCGAAGCAGAAUACAUGUCCUUAGCAUCCGCCAUGCAAGAAUGUAUCUACUUAGAGCAGUUGCUUAAGGGUAUGGACUCAUACAAAUACGCACAAACAAAGGUGUAUGAAGAUAACCAAGGUGCCAUUGCAUUAGCCAGAAACCCAAUCUGUAGGCAAAGAUGCAAGCACAUUGAUAUCAAAUACCAUUUCAUAAGAGAAAUUGUAAAUGAUGGCAAAGUUAUCUUGGAAUAUUGUCCUACAGAGACAAUGAUAGCUGACAUAAUGACAAAGCCACCCACCAAGCAGAAAUUAAAGAGGUUUACUCAAGACAUGUUUGGAACAUAAAAAGUGUAAAAAAUGUAUGUAACACUAAACUUAUG